AACGCUGGCGGCGCGCUUAACACAUACAAGUCGAGCGAGAACCAGGACUUCGGUCCUGGGGACAGCGGCGAACGGGUGAGUAACACGUGGGUAAUCUGCCCUCGAUUCUGGGAUAGCCCGGGGAAACCCGGAUUAAUACCGGAUAGCCUUUCGAGCCUUCGGGCGCGAAAGAAAAGGUAGCUUCGGCCUCCGAUCGAGGAUGAGCCCGCGGUGGAGUAGCUUGUUGGUGGGGUAAUGGACCACCAAGGCGACGAUCCAUAGCUGGUCUGAGGGGACGGUCGGCCACACAGGGACUGAGACACGGCCCAGACUCCUGCGGGAGGCAGCAGUGGGGAAUCUUGCGCAAUGGGCGAAAGCCUGACGCAGCGACGCCGCGUGGGGGAAGAAGGCCUUAGGGUUGUAAACCUCUUUCAGGUGGGACGAAGCCACUCGGGUUAAUAGCCCAGAGGGUGACGGUACCGCCAGAAGAAGCCCCGGCUAACUACGUGCCAGCCGCCGCAGUAAAAC
rnacentral:rRNA from 1 species